rnacentral:rRNA from 1 species
AACGAACGCUGGCGGCAGGCUUAACACAUGCAAGUCGAACGGUUGUAGCAAUACAGCAGUGGCAGACGGGUGAGUAACACGUGGGAACCUUCCUAGGGGGUACGGAACAACUCAGGGAAACUUGAGCUAAUACCGUAUACGUCCGUGAGGAGAAAGAUUUAUCGCCCUUAGACGGGCCCGCGUCGGAUUAGCUAGUUGGUGGGUAACGGCCUACCAAGGCGACGAUCCGUAGCUGAUCUUAGAGGAUGAUCAGCCACACUGGGACUGAGACACGGCCCAGACUCCUACGGAGGCGAGCAGUGGGAAUCUUGGACAAUGGGCGCAAGCCUGAUCCAGCCAUGCCGCGUGAGUGAAGAAGGGUCUUCGGAUUGUAAAGCUCUUUGUCCAGGGACGAUAAUGACGGUACCUGGAGAAUAAGCCCGGCAAACUUCGUGCCAGCAGCCG